rnacentral:rRNA from 1 species
UACGUAGGAUGCAAGCGUUGUCCGGAAUUAUUGGGCGUAAAGAGUUCGUAGGUGGUUACUUAAGUCUGGUGUUAAAGACUGAAGCUCAACUUCAGCAUGGCAUUGGAUACUGGGUGGCUAGAGUGUGGAAGAGGUAACUGGAAUUCCUGGUGUAGCGGUGAAAUGCGCAGAUAUCAGGAGGAACACCCGUGGCGAAAGCGAGUUACUGGUCCAUUACUGACACUGAGGAACGAAAGCCAGGGUAGCAAAAGGG